CCUACGGGAGGCAGCAGUGAGGAAUAUUGGGCAAUGGGCGUAAGCCUGAACCAGCCAAGUCGCGUGAGGGAUGAAGGUUCUAUAGAUUGUAAACCUCGUGUAUAAGGGAAUAAAGUGUGGGACGUGUCCUGUGUUGUAUGUACCUUAUGAAUAAGGAUCGGCUAACUCCGUGCCAGCAGCCGCGGUAAUACGGAGGAUCCGAGCGUUAGCCGGAUUUAUUGGGGUUAAAGGGUGCGUAGGCGGCCUUUUAAGUCAGCGGUUAAAGUCUGUGGCUCAACCCUAGACUUGCCGUUGAAACUGGUAGGCUUGAGUAUGUUUGAGGCAGGCGGCAUGCGUGGUGUAGCGG
rnacentral:rRNA from 1 species